UACACCUCAAUUUAGAGGGGGAAUUUAUGCAUUUUCAAUUGAUAUGUAAAAAGUAAUCUCAAUAUCUACCUGGGUGAAGAAUGUUUCAAAGGAAGGGAAAAAUUACAUCUGGGUGAACACCUCUGCCCCAUGGGUGAGAGGCGGGGAAAAGAGUAGAAACCAAGCCCAGUGGAUGAGACAACAUAGGAGAAAGAAUUUUCAGAGCCAGAACUCUACCACUUAACACAGUGAAAGGCCUUGAAAGGUAUACAUGUAUGUGUCUGUGAGUGAGUAUGUCUGUGAGUGUGUGUGUGGAUAUCUUAGGGGUGAGAGAGACAUAAUAGAGGCUGACUGAUUCCAGCUGGCUGCUGGGGCUGCAAUUAGACAAUGGGAAGUUCUGAAGAUACCAAAAUACAGAGACUGAAAGUAACCAGGAAAGUGGCAGGUAUGGUGUUUAAAGGGACUGUCUGAAGAGGGGAAUGGAAGAUUGUUGUAGUGAAGAAAGACAGAAGUAGAUAGAAACCUGUUACAGGGAAAAGCACUAUGGAAUUUGAUUUUUGUCCUUUUAGCUCCUAGUCAUGACCCAAUGUCAUAGAUACUGUAAGCCCUAGGCUAAAGCUGGUUUUCUUGAAUGCAGACCCAUAUGUAAUAAAAAUUUCCUCAUUUAUAACAAUGUGCUGAAGGAGAGGGCUGGAUUGAAUAUAUCACUGAGAUCUAGCUGGAUGACGAUUGAGGAUUUCUUCUGUAGUGAAUCUGCCCAGAAAUGGUUUCAGGAAAGGAUGAGUGGUAAUUAUAUUAUGUUAGAACUUGGUGGUAACCAAAAUUCUUAUCUGCAGGUGACAAGAUGAGAUCUCCUAUAUGUGAAGUUGAGAUCUGUGGAGCUUUGAUAUUUUGUCAAGAACAAAGAUGAAACAAUCCACGAAACACCAAGAAAGUUUCUAUACAAACAGUUUAUACACAUGGCAUUUGACAGGACUUCCUUUCAUAUUAUGCAGCAGAGCUGAUCUUUUCUUUCUAAACAAACUGUAAGGAUACCUGCCUCUCAUUACAAAAAAAAAAAAGCUUGGAAAUAAGAAGACUUGGUUUUGUACUCAUUCAAAAGAAUAAAAUGCAAGACGGAGAAAACAAAAAAACCAACAUCCAACACUAAAAACAACAAAACUGUGUACAAAAAAGAAAAAAUAUGUUUUAUCAACAGGAAUAAAAUGCAAAACAGAAAACAAAAAAACCAAUAUCCAACACGAAUAAGAACAAAAUUGUGUACAAAAAAAGAAAAAAAAAUGAGCCAAACACAGUGGCAGAACUGUCAGCUGAUUUUUUUUUUGUCCAGGCCCAGAAUGGACUUCUGGAAGCAGCAUCUAUACAGAGAACCGGUUGUUCAGAUAUUUGAAUCCCACCACUGCCCAAACACCAAAUAAAGGAAAAUACCAUUAACUGACUGAGAUCUUCCAUACAUUCCAAGAAAGGAGAAAGAAAAGUAUGAGCAUUCAUUUACAUGGCAGAAAUAAAGUUGGUGUUUCAAAGCAAUAAUGAUGUGGCAUGGCCAGGUUCUGUACAUAAUAUUUUAAUUUGCUAUUGUCAUGGAAAAACCCAAUGAAAAAGACAAGAGACAGCAACACAAAAUAAUAAUUCUUACUUUAAGAUUCAGAGGUUUAUUUUGCUAAUAAUUUGGAACAUAACGAGCAUAAUAACACAACAUCAUUUACAUUAAUCACCCAUUGCAAUGAGGUCCACUGGUAUAGCAAAUUCCAAAUGACAGCUAUAGGCCAUUGGCCCCAAACUAAUCCUAAACUAACAUUUUUAUACUUUUAUUCUAACAACCACCCACUGAUAGUCAUUAUUUUGCAAAAUCAGUUCCUUGUUCUUUCGUGCCGACCAGCAUUUCCACAUACACCUGUGUACAUCUGAAACCUUCAUCCAUCUGUUACUUUUAGUUCCUCUUUUCCCACAGUUACAAUGCUUCUGUUCCAAAUAUACAUGUAAAACUAUCUACUUUGCAAUUUCUUAUUGCACACAAUGCAACAGCUCAGCAGAUUACAAAUAAUUCAUUUACAUUGUGAAACAGUUUGAGUUAAAGCUUUGUUUUAAAUCAUUGCUGUGGGACUUAUCUUACUUUAUGAGUAAGGGGCUAUAUUUUCAUCUCCCACACUAUGAUUCAUUAGCACAUGUAUUUUAGUUAAGAACUUUGAAUCAAAAUGGUUCUUAUAAUUCAGGAAGCGGUACUUUUAAUAAGGAAAAGUGGCAUUUACCCUAACCCUAACCCUGUGUACCAAAGAUCUGCAUUAUUCAAUUUAACAAAUAUCUACAGUUAUUCGUUUGUUUGCUGUUUUAUUUUUCAUCUGCAAAGAAUGAACAUUAGCUCAAAGGUUACUUGAGUCAAAAAUUACUCAUUUUAUGAAGUAUUGGAUGCUUGACUUUAAUAUGAAUACAUCCAUAUGCUGCCUCCCUUUCUCCAAUCUGGAAUUAUAGCAAAGUAUGUUGAGAUGUUACAAUGGCUAUCUAGCAACAAGCAAUUGUAUUUCAUUGUCUUUCUGCUGUCUGAUCUGUUUUGCAUUUGGAAUAGUUGGAGUGAUGACUCUAUGACAUCUGAAUCAUACUUAUUAAAUACAAUGUGUUUUCA